GACGAACGCUGGCGGCGGGCUUAACACAUGCAAGUCGAACGGGAAGGCCCUGCUUUGGUGGGGUGCUCGAGUGGCGAACGGGUGAGUAACACGUGAGUACGCUGCCCUUGACUUUGGGAUAACUUCAGGAAACUGGGGCUAAUACCGGAUAGGAGCUCCUGCUGCAUGGUGGGGGCUGGCAAGUUUCGGCGGUUGGGGAUGGACUCGCGGCUUAUCAGCUUGUUGGUGGGGUAGUGGCUUACCAAGGCUUUGACGGGUAGGCGGCCUGAGAGGGUGACCGGCCACAUUGGGACUGAGAUGCGGCCCAGCCUCCAACGGGAGGCAACAGUGGGGAAUAUUGCACAAUGGGCGGAAGCCUAAUGCAGCAACGCCGCGUGCGGGAUGACGGGCUUCGGGUUGUAAACCGCUUUCGCCUGUGACGAAGAGUGAGUGACGGUAAUGGGUAAAGAAGCACCGGCUAACUCCGUG
rnacentral:rRNA from 1 species